GGGGGGAUAGUGGAGUGGUAUACCACCUGGACUAACCUCUUUUCUAAUCCCUAAGAGGUCGUAGGUUCGAAUCCUGCUCCCCCCU